rnacentral:lncRNA from 1 species
GGGCUCCAAACCCGAGUCAGUUCCCUGUGCAGAAAGAGGCUAUCCUCCCAGGCUUCAAGUCAGCGCCAGCGACCUGACGGGGCCGUCUCGGGCAUGGGGUGCCACCGCGGCCAGAGGGCCAGCCUUUGCAAACAACGAAACCCAAACGAUCUUCCCCGCGGGUUUUUCCAAGCUCUGGUUCAGAUCCAUCUUCUUAUGAAUGGACCUCAUUCAAUCAGCAAAAAGGCCUUAGCAGAAAAAUAGAAGAAUGACCUCCCUUGAGGAAGAGGGAAUUGUGCAGGCCAAUGGUCUUCAAACUUGAACUGCAGCAUCCACUCUUCCCUGAGUCUCCAGCCUGAUGACAUAUCCUGAAGAUUUUGGACUUGUUGACAGACAUGUGCAGGCGUGCACACGUGUGUGUGUGUGCGCACACACACACAGUUCUUUUUCAGCACAGUGCUAAUGUACACAUACAUUAGAAUGGUUAAAAUGAAAAAGACUUACAUAACCAAGUGGUGGUGAACGUGUGGAGCAACUGAAAUUCUCAUACUUUGCUGGUGGGAAUGAAAAUUGUCACAAACACUUCAGAUUCCUGUUUGCCAGUAGUUGCUAAAGCUGACUAAAUGAAUACCCUAAGCAAUUCCACUCUAAGGUUUAUACCCUAUAAUACAUGGUCGAUUAUCUCUCUCUUUCUGUAUAUGUUCAUACAUAUAUGUAUGAAUGUUGCCAACAGUAGUUUUAAUAACGUACCAAAAUGAAAUUGGAAACAACCAAAUGUUCAUCAGCAGUGGAGUGAAUGCAUGGUAGUAUAUGCAAAUGAUGUAUAAACUCAUGCAAUUAUUUACAUCUCAUAAACAUAACUUGAGUGAAAAAAGUCAAACAUAAUGGGCAAACCUAAGUGAUGCUGUUUGAUAUCAGGAAAGAAGGAUGAGGGAUUGGGACUGGACAAGGACAUGCUGUGCUUCUGCAGUACACCACUUCUUAACCUCAGUGGAUAUUGCAUAGGUGUAUUCACCGUGUGAAAAUUCAUCCACAGGCAUGUUGAUAAUUGGUGUACUUUGCUGCACAUAUAUGUAAUUCAUUUCUUUAAAAGUUUAAGAGAGUAUGUCUCCGUCACUGUCUGUUACGUUUGCAGAAGUUACUCCAUGUUUUGGAACCCCAGUUCCUCGGCUGUAAAAUGCUGCACAGAUUUAAAGAGAUGGUCCUUGGGAAAGCUAUUGGUAAAGUUUGAAUGUAAUGAUUUGUUAUGAUGUGCACUUCACAAGUAGACUCAAUAAAGUGAAAUGAAAAUUAACUCUAAAGAAGCUA